GAGCUUUCAGGUUGCUGAACACAUGCAGGUUCCUGAGGAGGGCAGGGAGGCUCUGAGCCUCUUCCCAUACUUGACCUAUGCAUCUCUCUAUCUGGCUGUUCAUCCAUAACAUCCUUUAUGAUAAAUAUGAAAAUCCACACGUGAGCGGAGGUGCUGAACAGAGCACAGAUGAGCCUCACCAUCACUGCAGAAAGUCCUGUUGGACAGUGAUGCUGUCAAUUUUGAAGAUGAGUUUUUCUCCCUGCAAAAACCACAGAGACUGGAAGGCUUAAAGCCAUAUUUCUUAGACUCCUUUCUUACCAAGAUGCUGCAUGAAUUCUAUCAACAAGAUGCAUUUGCUUAAGAUUGGGAAGACAGAGAGGAGAGAGAGCAUGAAGAGACCACAUUCUACCAUCUCGACCUGGCUUCAUGGGUGUAAGGAUGCCAGGACGUUGGCAGUGGCUCCCUGAGGUCUCCUGGGUAGCAGCAAUAGUGCUCUGACUCCGGGAACAAAGCUGCAGGGCAUGGACCUGAAGCCUCUCUAGGGCUCGCUGGCUUCUGCUCCUUCCGCUCCUUCCACUUUCCCAAUAAUUUCACAAGCACCUAAUUUCCUAUUUUAAAUCUUUACACUUGAAAUUCAUUUCUGUGCCAGCUGUUAACAUCUCUCACUGUCCAGGCUCCCUUCUGUGUUCAGCCUAUGCUACUGGAGUAGGAACUACCAACCACACUCCUCACUCACAGGUGGCUCUAGGCCCUGCCAGCAGGAGAGGGGCAGAGAGAGAAUGAGAGACUCCAAAGCUGGAGACAAAGAAAGAAAUGUGCUCCUUCUUGUUUGCUUCUUGUCUGCUCGCAAUUCCCUUGACAAUCACUUCUUUAACCUAGCCUUGGGGAUGUCUGUGUUCAAUGAAACUUUAUUUGCAGGAAGAGAUGUUGGGUCAGAUUUCUCCUGAGGGUUGUACUUUGCCAAUCCCUGCCCUAGAGUUUUCUUACUGUACUCUUAGUUACCUAGUUAGCAAACUCCAUAACUUAAUUAACAAUUCUUAACAUUGAAACCACUCUGUUCAGAGACCAGAUGUGGUUUUUAUCUCCUGAGCAGAACUUGACGGUCACCAUUUCCUGCAUGGAACUCUGACUGUUCCUAUAGUUGGUAUCAGAAGUGGUUCUAAGAAAUAUUCCAAAGGUGAAAAACUGGCAUUAAUUAUUUCUUUUGCUUGGGUUUGAAGGCACUGAUGACCUAAUCAUCAGUGGAAAAAAGAUAUUAGCUGUCCAUGGCAAGUAGGACCAAAAUAGCUACUGAAGUGAUCAUUCAAUGGCUUUCCUUGCCAUUGCAGUCAUCAUCCUGCCUCGUCCCUGGAACCCAGAGGUGAAACAGAUGCACUAUUCUGGUCUUCUUUUCUCCUGAUCCAGCUAAGUUUCCCUGGAAUUCUCAAAAUCAGAGAUAACUGGCCACACACUAGGGGCAAUAAAUUAUUACAAAAGAAAAACCCAAGUGAUACAGGUCUUUAAACUGGAAAUUAAUAUUUAUCAAAGACAGAGGCAGAGUGAUUACUUACAUUUUGCCUCUAGGCGUGGUAAAGUAACUAGUAUACAAGAUUUAUAAACAGCCAGAAAACUGGGAAAGUGUAUGAAACACACUGUUUUCAGACACUGGAUAACAGGCAACACAGGAAGACAAUCCUCAGAAGAAGAGAAGUUCAUGAGGUGAGCCGAUGACAGCUGAAGCUUUCUAACCAGAGGUACUUCCCAAAUUGUGAUUCAGGGAAGAGGAACCCAGAGGAUGAUGUUCUCACUGCUAUGAGGAGACAAAGAAUGUUAGAGAAUGCUGGGUGGCUAGGAGCUGCAAAGCAGCAUAUGGGAGAGAAGGAACUGCACAGAGAAAGAGCUCAAGCAUCUGUAAGGGUCCCCUUGGCUCUUUAAGCAAAUGCUAAUUUAUGCACAUGUACAGGGACAUGACAUGAAAUUUGGGGAAAGAAAACCCUAAAAUAGAUACAUAUAUUUUUUCUCAUAUAUAUGAAAAAAGAACAACUAUCAGUGCUGUAAGAUAAAAAAAAAAAUUCCCAGGGCUCAUGCAUGAUUGGAAGAUACUUAAGUUCCAGCACUGACAGUGGAAAAACCAUAGGGAACACUUGGGGUCUUAGGCAGCAGCACCAACAGGUUAUAACUUGGUAGGAAAGCUGCAGUAGUUCUAGAGUAAACUAUAAACUCACAAGUAACUGCCUGCCAAAACACAAUAUUCUUUAAAAGAAAACAACAGAAUCUAGACACUCAAUCACAAAAUAACCAUCAUACAAUAAAAAAAAUUACUAGACAUGCAAAAUAACAGAAAAAUGUGACCUAUAACAAACAAAAGAAGUAAGCAAAUAGAAACAGACCCAUAAAUGACAAAGAAGUGGAAUUAGCAGAGGAGGAAUUUAAAUGAGCUAUCAUAACAAUAUUAAAGGAUUAAAAGGAAUGCAUAAAUACAAUGAAGAGAAAUGGAAGAAUCAAAAGGAGCCAUUAUAAUCAGAAAAAGCAAAUUUGACGUGCACAAGUCCUGUACACUGAAAACUACAAAAUACUGCUGAGAGUAAUUUUAAAGACCUAAGUAAAUGAGAGAUAUCCCACGUUCAUAGAAUGCAAAUAUCAAUCCCAUUAAAGUGUCAAAUUGCAUUAAAUCCACACAUAAAUUUUCGGAAAAUCUCCAUAAAAAUCCCAAUAGGCUUUCUGGAGGAAUCUACAGCCUGAUUCUAAAAUGUAUACAGAAAUGCAAAGGUCCUGAAACGACCAAAACAGUCUUUAAAAAAAAUAAAGUUGGAGGAUCUCAAGACUUGUUAUAAAGUUAUCAUAUUGAAGACAAUGUGGAAUUGGGCACAAAGAGGGAUACAUACACAAAUGCAAUAAAUUAGAGGGUCGAGGAAGAGUCACAUAUAUGCUCAAUAGGUUUCCAACAAAAGCACAGGUAUUUCAAUGAUGAAGUAGUAGUAUUUUUCACAAAUGAUGCUGUAAACACUAGAUAACUAUACGGGAUAUAAACUGGACCUCAAUCCUUACCUCAUACCAUGCACAAUAAUGGAUCACAGACUUAAACUUACAAGCUAAAACUACAAAACUCCUGGAAGUAAACACAAGAGGCACUCUUCCCAGUCCUAGAGUAAGUACAUAUCUCUUAGAGAGCACCAAAGCUCUAAUCACAGCAAAAGAAGAAGAAAAUGAGAAAGAAAUUUUGACUUCAACAAAAUUAAAAAAAAAAACAAAAAACUUCUGGCUCUUCAAAAGGUGUUUAUACUGCUUUUCUAUAGUUAUGAAACAUAUUAACAGAAAUUUAGCAACGUAGAAUACCACACAUAUUUAUCAUCUCAAUUUCUCAUAAGAAAUCCAUGCACAGCUUAGCUAAAUCUGCUGCUUAGGACCUCAUGAGGCUGUAAUCAAGGUGUUGGCUAAGCUGGAGUCUCACCUCAAGGCCUGACUGGAGAAGUACCUGUUUCCAGCCUUCCUCAGGUUGUUGGCAGGAUUCAUCUCUUGGUGAUUGUCGGACUGAGGUCUCCAUUUUCUUGCUGGCUGUAGGCUUGGCCACUCUCAGCUACUAGAGGCUGUCUGCAAUUUCUUGCCACAUGGCCCUCUCCAUAGGCCUUCUCACAACAUAGCCAGUUACUUAUUAAAGCCAUCAAUGGAGAAAAGUCUCUCACUCCAAUCUGCUAAGAUGGACUCUUAUAUCAUGCAAGGGAGUGACAUUCCAUUACCUUUGCCAUAUUCUACUGGUUAAAAUCAAGUCAAAGGUUCCACACACACUCAAGGGGAGGGAAUUAGGCAAAGGUGUAGACACCAGGAGGCAGGAAUUAUUGGAGGCCAGCCUAGGGUCUAUUUUCCCUAACACUGGUAAGAAAAUGGAUAGGCAAGACAAAGAUUGGUAAAAAAAAAAUUUGCAACAGACAUCUAUGAAACAGGGUUUAUAUCCAAAUUAUAUAUUCAGAAAACUCUUAGAAUUCAGUAAUUUUAAAAAGCAUAUAACAUGUUUUUUUAAAUGGGCAAAAGUUUGACAGAGACUUCAACAAAGGAAGAUUUUUAAAUGACCAAUAAGCACAAGAAAAUCAACAUGAUUAGUCAUCAGGGAAAUAUAACUUAAAGUCACAAUGAGAUAUUAUCAAUAAUACACACCCACUAGAAUGGCUAAAAUUAAAACGACUGACAGUACCAAACACCGGUGAAGAUACGCAAAAAUGAAAACUCGCAGGUAAUACUAGCAGGAGUGUAAAAUGGAAAUUGUUUGGCAAUUUCUUAUAAAGCUAAACAUAUAUCUUCCCUCUAAUCUAAGAAUUUUACUCCUAGCUAUUUACCCAGGAAAAACAAAAACAGAUGUUCACCAAAACUUGCACAGAACAAAACCCUUACAGCAGCUUUAUUCAUAAUAACCUCAAACUGAAAAUAAUGAAAAUGUCCUGUAACAGGUGAACGAAUAAACAAAUUGUGGAAUAUCCAUAAAAUGAAAUACCCAGCGAAAAAAGGAAUGAACAGAUGAUACACACAGCAACAUGGAUGAAUAUCAAAAUAAUUGUGUUGAAUGAAAGAAGCCAGACAAAAAGACAGUCUUCAUAUGAAAUUCUAAGCAAGCACAAUUAAUCCAUUGUGUUAGAAAGAAGGUCCGCGUGCUUGCCUGGGGAUAUGGAGGGCUGGAACUUUUUGAGAUCAUGUAAAUGUUCAAUAUUUUAAAUGGGGUGGUGAUUACAUGCUUAUAUACAUUUGUCAAAAUAUAUCACCAUGUACACUUAAAAUUGGUACAUUUAAUUGUAGGUAUGUAAACUGUAUCUCAAUAGAGCUGAUUUAAAAUCAUUACCUGUGAUCAAUUUGUAACAACUGCCUAUUAAAGCCAAGUCUGUGGCAGAUCAAGCAGCUACUGAAAUAUACCAUUAGAGCAGAAAUAAUACAAGAUUAAGGAUAGGUCAGCCACUUCUCACUGCACUGGGAAGCUUAAAGAAUGAAAAUUGCAAAAUCAGAGGUCAAGACAAAGUCAGAAGACAAGAGAGUCUCUAUGACAGACUAAGAGAACCUCUUCUCUCAUAGCAGCCCGACAUAUGCAGCCUAAAAAGUUAAUUCUGUGGGUUGUAGAAUUCAAUGAAUGUUGUAGUCCUAGACUAACCAGGUCUCUUUCAUGAAAGUUAGGGCGCUGAUGGGAAAGAGUGGGACCUUAAGAACCUGAAUGAGGACACAUGUAUUGGUUUGAAUGAAUCCAAAUCCCUUGACCUUCAAAUCCUGUUAGCUCUCCUUGGCCAGCAGCAUCAGACCCUCCUCCUCUCUCUCUGAGGACAGCCCUGCACUGUGUCAUGCUGGAGCACCAUGUAUUGACCCUACUUUUAAUAUCAGGUUCUGUACGAUUAGUAGGGUGAGGAUAAACAAAGAGACUACCACCUAUGCAACAGUUCAAAAUAUAUAACCUUUUCUCAGAAAAACAUUCCAGAGGGAAUCUGCAGAUUCUGUUUCCCAAAGUCAUCCAGGGGCCCAAUCGAGGGGAGCAACUCUGAUGUUGCCAAUAAAUAGCCCCCAAAGUAGCUCCAGCCUUAUACCAUUUCCAGCCAGCAAAAUGGGAAGGGCUGAGGAACCAGGGCAAGAGAUUUCCUUCUCAAUGGGUAAUGCACAAGGUCGCACCUCACUUCUGCUCACAUUCCACCAGUGAGAAUUUAAUCUUAUGGCCACACCCAUCCACAGAGAGGCUGGAAAAUGUAGUCUCUGCCGCAGGCAUCAUUAAUGAAUUUUAUCUGAUUCCAUUUUCAUUCCACAGUAGCCAUUCCAUCAGUGACUGUACAUACUUAUUUCAUAAAACCUUUUGUGUUAAAGAAUUAAUGCUUUGCUCUGAGCAAACACAUCUUUGCCAGUACAUCUUUCUUUUGAUGGCCUCUCAAUAACAAUAACCUUUGGUUUAUUCCAUACGUUGAAACACGUUAGAAACUACACUUUUAUCCAAAUAUGUAGUAAAUCUCUUAUGUUUCACAAUUUGUUUAAUUACUUGUUUCUUAGAAACCUUGGCAAAUGCCAUUAAUUCAUUCCUUUUUAUGGCUGAGUAGUAUUCCAUUAUAUAUAUAUAUACAUAUACAUAUACGCAUACAUACAUAUAUAUAUAUAUAUAUAUAUACACACACACACACCACAGUUUCUUUAUCUACUCGUUGUUUGAUGGGCAUUUGGGUUGGUUCCAGGUUUUUGCAACUGUGAAUUGUGCUGCUAUAAACAUGUGUGUGCAAGUAUCUUUUUUGUACAAUGACUUCUUUUCCUCUGGGUAGAUACCCAGUACUGGGAUUCCUGGAUCAAAUGGUAGUUCUACUUUUAGUUCUUUAAGGACACU
rnacentral:lncRNA from 10 species